UAGAGUUUGCCAGGCUUGUGAG
rnacentral:misc_RNA from 1 species